GUGCCAGCCGCCGCGGUAAUACAGAGGUGGCAAGCGUUGUUCGGAAUUAUUGGGCGUAAAGAGCACGUAGGUGGGUUUGUAAGUCAGAUGUGAAAGCCUUCUGUUCAACGGAAGAAUUGCAUCUGAAACUGCGAGUCUUGAGUGUAGGAGGGGAGAAUGGAACUUCUGGUGGAGCGGUGAAAUGCGUAGAUAUCAGAAGGAACGCCGGCGGCGAAAGCGAUUCUCUGGCCUAUUACUGACACUCAGUGUGCGAAAGCUAGGGGAGCAAACGGGAUUAGAUACCCCGGUAGUCCUAGCUGUAAACGAUGGGCACUAAGUAGAGGGAAUUACCGAUGUUCUCUCUGCCGUAGCUAACGCAUUAAGUGCCCCGCCUGGGGAGUACGGCCGCAAGGCUAAAACUUAAAUAAAUUGACGGG
rnacentral:rRNA from 1 species